rnacentral:rRNA from 1 species
AACGCGAAGAACCUUACCAAGGCUUGACAUAUAGCGAAAAGUGGCAGAGAUGUCAUGUCCGCAAGGGCGCUAUACAGGUGGUCCAUGGUUGUCGUCAGCUCGUGUCGUGAGAUGUUGGGUUAAGUCCCGCAACGAGCGCAACCCUCGUUCUGUGUUACCAGCAUUCAGUUGGGGACUCACAGGAGACUGCCGGGGUCAACUCGGAGGAAGGUGGGAAUGACGUCAAAUCAUCAUGCCCCUUAUGUCUUGGGCUGCACGCAUGCUACAAUGGCCGGUACAAAGUGCUGCGAGAUCGUAAGAUUGAGCGAAUCACAUAAAGCCGGUCUCAGUUCGGAUUGAGGUCUGCAACUCGACCUCAUGAAGUCGGAGUUGCUAGUAAUCGUAGAUCAGCAACGCUACGGUGAAUACGUUCCCGGGUCUUGUACACACCG